CCUGGAGUCCUGGGAUCGAACUCAGGAUCUGCCACUGAGCCCGGUGUGACUUCGGGGGCUGACGAUUGAGGAGACGGAGGGAGAACUGCAAGGGAGCUGCAUCAGUAGAAGGGACCCACUCAACCCAGAUGGGAGCAGACUUCACCUUGCCUACCUGCAAGGAAGGCAGAGCGUCCUGCCCUGAUGCUCUGGACCUGUAACGGGAGCAGACCUCAACCCACACUGCCAGAGCAAGUGCUCCGAGUCCCGGGGGUGACGAGAAUCUCUCACUUCCAUU